UGCUAAUUCUGCACUUGUUUGAAUCAUGCGUCUAUCAGGACGAACUUUGAGCCCACAUUUUCUUGGGUUACUCUGGUGGUGAAGGCCCUCCCAUCUGCACCAGCACCUCGUUUCUAACACAGAGCGUUAAAGUGUUAGACAUUUAGUGUUGGAAACAAUGAAUCCAUACGACGUAUGACUUCCCGAAAUGUGUGCAGAGGAUACACAGUGAAGGCGAGGUGACGACGUACCAGUGCUACCGAAAUGGUACCACGCUCGAGCCACCCUCAUCGCAGGACUUCACCGUUCUGUGGAAAGGCUCGGACCUGCCCAAUAACGAAGCACAAUUAGUGUGCACGUUCCAGCUUGCCGGUGACAGUGAGAAACAGAGGUUGGAAGCCUCUGCCGAGUACGAAUCUCAAGGAGACUACACCAUUAUAUCAGGAGACGGUAAACAGGUGCGUCUUUACCAACUCCAACCUCCAUACCAGGGUGAAGCCUACUACUUCAAGGAAGUGGCCGAUGCGGAUGGCAAUCCGGUCUUCAAGAUUUACGACACAGACGAGACGUGCGCAAACGCCGAAGCCCUUCGCAACAAGGUCGGCCCUGAGCCGUGCGACUUGGAAUACGUACGUUGAAGAUGCCGCUCAUGCAAUAACAAGAACGUCAACGAAAACUAAAAAAAAAAGGUGGAGGGAAAACGUGUAAGUUGUACUUGUACGAGCGAAGAACUGACUAAUAAAGCCUUUCCACGUUAUAUAGCACGCGGAAGUAUCAGCCAUCCUUUCGGCUCAUUGUAUUAUCACUAGGUGAAUUAAGAACCAACAUUAUGUACGGAUAUCUCUCGAUCGCUUCUAUUUCUUUGUAUCCUUCACCGUUCACAGCCUGCCGAACCUGGUGAUGACAUGGGUGAAGCGCUGCUCGAACCACUGAC